rnacentral:rRNA from 1 species
UUCCGGUUGAUCCUGCCGGACCCCACUGCUAUCGGGAUGGGACUAAGACAUGCUAGUCGAGCGUCUCUAAGCUAUGGAAGAGACGCGGCAUACAGCUCAGUAACACGUGGCUAACCUGCCCUUGGGACAAGGACAACUCCGGGAAACUGGGGCUAAUCCCUGAUAAGUGAGAACUCCUGGAAUGGAUUCUCGCUGAAAGGACGUUUAGACCAUGCUUCUAGGCGUCGCCCAAGGAGGGGGCCGCGACCGAUCAGGUUGUUGGUGAGGUAACGGCUCACCAAGCCUUUAACCGGUACGGGCCGUGAGAGCGGAAGCCCGGAGAUGGGCACUGAGACAAGGGCCCAGGCCCUACGGGGCGCAGCAGUCGCGAAAACUCCGCAAUACACGAAAGUGUGACGGGGCCAUCCCGAGUGCCAUCCGCUGAGGAUGGCUUUUCCCCAGUGUAUAAAGCUGGGGGAAUAAGGAGAGGGCAAGCCUGGUGUCAGCCGCCGCGGUAAUACCAGCUCUCCGAGUGGUGGGGAUGUUUAUUGGGCCUAAAGCAUUCGUAGCCUGCUUGGCAAGUCCUCCGUUAAAUCCAACGAUUCAAUCGUUGGGCUGCGGGGGAUACUGUCCAGCUAGGGGGCGGGAGAGGCCGACGGUAUCCCCGGGGUAGGGGUGAAAUCCUAUAAUCCCGGGAGGACCACCAGUGGCGAAGGCUGUCGGCUAGAACGCGCUCGACGGUGAGGGAUGAAAGCUGGGGGAGCGAACCGGAUUAGAUACCCGGGUAGUCCCAGCUGUAAACGAUGCAGGCUAGGUGUUGGCGCGGCUACGUGCCGCUCCAGUGCCGCAGGGAAGCCGUUAAGCCUGCCGCCUGGGAAGUACGGUCGCAAGGCUAAAACUUAAAGGAAUUGGCGGGGGAGCACCACAAGGGGUGAAGCCUGCGGUUCAAUUGGAUUCAACGCCGGA